rnacentral:rRNA from 1 species
GACGAACGCUGGCGGCGUGCCUAACACAUGCAAGUCGAACGGAGCUGUUUUGGACGGAGACUUCGGUCAAAGACCAUAAUAGCUUAGUGGCGGACGGGUGAGUAACGCGUGAGUAACCUGCCGUUCAGAGGGGGACAACAGUUGGAAACGACUGCUAAUACCGCAUAAUGUAUAUAGGAGGCAUCUUCUGUAUACCAAAGGAGCAAUCCGCUGAAUGAUGGACUCGCGUCCGAUUAGAUAGUUGGUGGGGUAACGGCCUACCAAGUCGACGAUCGGUAGCCGGACUGAGAGGUUGAUCGGCCACAUUGGGACUGAGACACGGCCCAGACUCCUACGGGAGGCAGCAGUGGGGGAUAUUGCACAAUGGAGGAAACUCUGAUGCAGCAACGCCGCGUGAGGGAAGAAGGUCUUCGGAUUGUAAACUAUUGUCGUUAGGGAAGAUACAAGACAGUACCUAAGGAGGAAGCUCCGGCUAACUACGUG